ACACUGCAACUUGUCAGCGUAUAAAUUCGGGAUCAGCAUACAAAAAUUUGAGAGCAGCAGAUGUUUUAUGCAUGCCGCAUCCUAAAUCUAUCACCAGAUGGCAGCAAUCCGUUACACUUGAACCGGGAUUCAAUCUUGAAAUCAUACGACGUAUGUCUAUCAUUGCGUCUGAACUCCAAGAACGGGACAAGUUGAUUGUAUUACUCAUUGAUGGAAUGGCUUUGAAACCGACAAUAGGUUUUCAUGUGAAAAGCGACUUCUUCUAUGGUCUCCCGAACGACGGUGUAUUCAAAGUUAAUAAAGAAAAUGAUACUGCUAAUUUAACUAAUGAGGCUAUUACAAUCAUGGCUAGAGGAGUGGGCACUAAGUAUAAACAAAAAAAAAAAACAAACCAGUUUGGAAAAUCAUUCAAAAGUAUCCUUAUCAAUAAAACUUAUCUUAUCAAAAAUAUGAAACGCUCAAAUGUUCCUUUCUAAAAACAUUUGUUGAAUUUCAACGCUCCUGUGCAUGGUUUAUAAUUUGUCACAUACUGUCGAUAAACUUUUUGGAUUCCGACAGCCGAUGGGCUUUGAAUGAUGACUGGUCGGUUGAUUCGAUAAUGCUUGUCCUGCUUGCCGCCUCCACUUCCACUGGAGUCAAGAUCUUCAUUUUUAUUUUAAACCGUUAAGUACAGAAGAACUUAUUAAAAAUUUUAAAUCCUCGAAAAGAAUGACGAGAAAACUUUUGUAAUCAAUUCGGUAAGAUGGAUUAGACAGGAUUG